rnacentral:misc_RNA from 1 species
AACUUUUAACAAUGGAUCUCUUUCAGGGCGGUGGCUUUGGCUUGGGCCGAUACGUUUGGCAUGAGACACCCCUCCGCGGGAUCAGGGCGAAUGCUACUCCUGCCGCUUCUUCCUCGCCUUCUCGAACCGGUCCGCCAGCUCCGCGGCGCGCUUCGCGGUGCUCUCGAGUACGUUCGCAUAGAAAUUCGGGCGAGCGUCAACGUAAGCUAGUGGCGGCCGGAGGUUUCCCCACAUGGGCUACGCGCAACGCAUAUACAAAUACACCUGCCCGAAUUGCAGCAAAGAGUGGGCCGCUACAGUAAAGGGCCGCCCGGCAUUUAAGCAUAUCAAUAAGCGGAGGCU